rnacentral:lncRNA from 1 species
GUGCCCGCCUGCUCCGUGGUGUCCUCCUCCAGUGCCCCGUGCCCUCUUGUGUCCUCUUUGCCCUGUGCCCUCACCUCUAGCAGUAUCAAAAGCCGCCGUUCCUCCUACCUGCUGGCCAUUACCACGGAGCGCUCCAAGUCAUGUGACGAGGGCCUCAACACCUUCCGGGAGGAAGGCCGUGUCUUCUCGAGACUACCAAAAAGGGUCAAGAGCUUUUUCACUGAUGGGUCUCUGGAGAGUCUACGUGCUGCAGAGGAGGCGCGGUCGAAACGUCACUCCACCUCUGAGCUAGGGACCAUCACCUUCAGUGACGUACGCAAGGACGGCUGGCUUCACUACAAACAGAUCCUCACGGAGAAGGGAAAAAAGGUGGGCGGCGGCAUGCGUCCGUGGAAGCACGUCUUCUCCGUGCUGCGCUCCCACUGCCUUUUGCUCUACAAAGACAAGCGGGAGGCGGUCCUCCACGGGGCGGGGGCGGGACCUGGCCACGGGGAGGACGAGCACCCUCCAAUCAGCAUCCGCGGCUGCCUGAUUGACAUUGCCUAUAGCGAAACCAAGCGUAAGCACACUCUGAGGCUGACCACUCAGGACUUCUGUGAGUACCUGUUGCAGGCGGAGGACAGAGAUGACAUGCUGGGCUGGAUCCGGGUCAUCAGAGAGAACAGCAAGACAGACAACGAGGAGCUGGGUUUUUCCAGACAAGCUCUCAUCAGCAAGAAGCUCAAUGACUACAGGAAACAAACCAAGGGUCCAUGGGGUAUCAUCAUGAAGAAAGCAAAGAAGACAGGCCCCAAGGUGUUUGGAGUGCGACUUGAGGACUGUCAACCUGCUGUUAACAACAAGUUUGUCCCUCUGAUUGUGGAGCUGUGCUGUGGGCUGGUGGAGAGCAUGGGUCUGGAGUACACUGGCGUCUACAGGGUGCCGGGCAACAAUGCCAUGGUGUCCAACCUGCAGGAGCAGCUCAACAGGGGCCUGGAGAUCAACAUUACUGAGGAGAGAUGGCAGGACCUGAAUGUGAUCAGCAGUCUCCUCAAGUCCUUCUUUAGGAAACUCCCAGAACCCCUGUUCACUGAUGACAAGUAUAAUGACUUUAUUGAUGCCAACCGGCUAGAGGACUCAGGGAACAGGCUGAAGAGCAUGAAGAAACUGAUCCAUGAUCUUCCAGACCACUAUCACCACACUCUAAAGUUCCUGGUCUGUCAUCUGAAGACAGUGGCGGAUCACGCCGACAAGAACAAGAUGGAGCCCAGGAACCUGGCUCUAGUGUUUGGUCCCACUCUGGUGCGUACCUCAGAGGACAACAUGACCGACAUGGUCACCCACAUGCCCGACCGCUACAAGAUCAUCGAGACGCUCAUCCUGCAUGUAAGAACUGCAGUCGGUGGGGUUGACCAUGGCAGACAGACCUCCCACUCUGUCCCUGGCUACCCAGGGAAUACAGUAGUACCAUAG